UGGCACAUUUGGAAGAAUCGAAACCUUUUCAUCUUUCAAAGUCUUUCUUGGAACGUUGAUGUAGUUAUCAAAGUUUCUUUAAGUUGGGCAAAACAAUUUACUUUUGUGGUGAAUCUGAGUAUAUCCAAGCCUUUAAAUAAGUCCGUUGUUCCUUUGACUAAUGGUUGGGUAAGAUUGAAUAUAGAUGGUUCGGUUAGAACAGAAGACGAGUUCGCUAUAGUUAGAGGGUUUUUUUGGGAUGAUAAUGAGAGAUGAAUUAUUGGCUUUACUAGGUAUUUGGGUAAUUAUUUUGUCCUUCGAUUCUGAGCUUUGGGGCAUUCUUGAUGUGUUGAAACUCGCUCUUAAUCGAAGAUUUGAAAGAGUUUUAAUUCAUAUAGAUAAUAUUGAAGCAAUUAAUGUUAUUCAAAAUGGAGGCCGAGAGCACCUCAUUCCGCCUUAGUAAGAGAAUUCAUUAUCUUUUGAAGCUCUUAAGUUAGUAGAGUAUCCAACAUAUCCCUCGAGAAGAGAAUAAAAUCGUAGAUGGAAUUGUUAAGACUAUCUGUGACAGAAGAACUGGGUUAAGAUUGUUAGAGGACCCCAUUUAGCUUUUGAUUUGUGUUUCUUUAAAAAAAAGUAUUAAUAUGAUUAUCAACACAUUAUCGUUGAUAUUGUUAAUUAUUAUUAAUUUUUUAAAUUAAUCAUAUUAAUCUUAUUAAUCCUAUUGAGUUGAACAGAUCAUUAUUGUUGAAGCAAGCUCGGGAUGCAGCAGACUGGCGAGCAUGUAUUCACAUCCUUAUUAAGACUUGUAACUAAUUGUCUCGCAUCCAUACAAUAACUUUCAAUAAUUACAAGCUAUAACCCUGUCGCCAAGCUUCUUCUAAACCCUCAACCAGCACCCAAAGCUCUGACACUAGGGCCGAUGAUAUCCCAAUGCAUCUGUUAAAUCCUGAAAUCCAAAAGUCGUAUAAGUCAUUGAGAACACCACCUAUAGCAGCCUUGCCGGUUGUCCUAUCAACUACUCCAUCCACUUUCACUUUAACCCAACAUCCAGAGGAAGACACCAACCACCCGUCUUAUUGUUUGAAUAUUUGUUCCUCAUACUCACAAAUGCCAUGGGAAGGAUCAUUGGUCAUUUGACUAUUGCAAUGUUUUCUUUUAACAAUUUCAUUAUAAAUUCUUAUCAUAUUUAUUUUGUAUUUUUUUAUAUUUAAAAUUUAGUUAUUUUAAUUUCUUUUUAAGAAAUUUAAUCUCUUUACUUUUUGAAAUAAAAAUGUAAGUCC
rnacentral:lncRNA from 1 species